AAGGCGUAUAAGGUAGGCUUCCACUACAAUGCCUUACUGAUGAGUCCAGUAGUGGAAGCCGGGACGAAACGCCAA
rnacentral:hammerhead_ribozyme from 15 species